rnacentral:misc_RNA from 1 species
UUUCCGUAGGUGAACCUGCGGAGGGAUCAUUAUUGUAUAACCGAGGUGCGAGGGCUGUCGCUGAUCCGGAAGGUCGUGCACGGCCGAUUGCCCUCACACACAUCCAUCUCACCCCUUUGUGCACCACCGCGUGGGUCCCCCUUUGGCUUGUUCGGAGGGGGGCUUACGUUUUCACACAAGCUUAGUAAGCAGUGUAGAAUGUGUUUUUUGUUUUUGCGUUCACGAAAUAAAUACAACUUUCAACAACGGAUCUCUUGGCUCUC